GCUGGGGGUAGAGCAUGUUUCCGAAAAGUGGAAACCGGUUUUUGGAUAAAAACACGCGCCAGCAAACACUUAGAGCGGUUCCAACGAUUCCGCUUUAACCGGAACCGCUCUAGGAUUUUUGCUGUUCCUGUGAUACGGGCAAGUCACGCUGCCAAGG
rnacentral:ncRNA from 1 species